rnacentral:rRNA from 1 species
GUGGGGAAUAUUCCGCAAUGGACGAAAGUCUGACGGAGCAACGCCGCGUGAGUGAUGAAGGUUUUCGGACUGUAAAGCUCUGUUGUUUAGGACGAAAGUGCCUGUUGCAAAUAGUUACAGGUAUUGACGGUACUGAACGAGGAAGCCACGGCUAACUACGUGCCAGCAGCCGCGGUAAUACGUAGGUGGCAAGCGUUGUCCGGAAUUAUUGGGCGUAAAGAGCAUGUAGGCGGGAAUCUAAGUCUGUUGUGAAAAUGCGGGGCUCAACCCCGUAUUGCGAUGGAAACUGGGUUUCUUGAGUGCAGGAGAGGAAAGGGGAAUUCCCAGUGUAGCGGUGAAAUGCGUAGAUAUUGGGAGGAACACCAGUGGCGAAGGCGCCUUUCUGGACGGUGUCUGACACUGAGGCGCGAAAGCUAGGGGAGCGAACGGGAUUAGAUACCCCAGUAGUCC